UAAAUGGAAUUGAUGAGUGUUUUAUG
rnacentral:piRNA from 1 species